rnacentral:rRNA from 1 species
UACGAAGGGGGCUAGCGUUGCUCGGAAUCACUGGGCGUAAAGCGCACGUAGGCGGACUCUUAAGUCGGUGGUGAAAUCCUGGAGCUCAACUCCAGAACUGCCUUUGAUACUGAGGGUCUUGAGUCCGGGAGAGGUGAGUGGAACUGCGAGUGUAGAGGUGAAAUUCGUAGAUAUUCGCAAGAACACCAGUGGCGAAGGCGGCUCACUGGCCCGGUACUGACGCUGAGGCGCGAAAGCGUGGGGAGCAAACAGG